AGUGAACGCUGGCGGUAGGCCUAACACAUGCAAGUCGAACGGCAGCACAGUAAGAGCUUGCUCUUACGGGUGGCGAGUGGCGGACGGGUGAGGAAUACAUCGGAAUCUACUUUUUCGUGGGGGAUAACGUAGGGAAACUUACGCUAAUACCGCAUACGACCUACGGGUGGAAGCAGGGGAUCUUCGGACCUUGCGCGAUUGAAUGAGCCAAUGUCGGAUUAGCUAGUUGGCGGGGUAAAGGCCCACCAAGGCGACGAUCCGUAGCUGGUCUGAGAGGAUGAUCAGCCACACUGGAACUGAGACACGGUCCAGACUCCUACGGGAGGCAGCAGUGGGGAAUAUUGGACAAUGGGCGCAAGCCUGAUCCAGCCAUACCGCGUGGGUGAAGAAGGCCUUCGGGUUGUAAAGCCCUUUUGUUGGGAAAGAAAAGCAGCAGGUUAAUACCCCGCUGUUCUGACGGUACCCAAAGAAUAGGCACCGGCUAACUUCGUG
rnacentral:rRNA from 1 species